UCUGGAGUGAGGCUGUUCCUGUGGCAGCUCCUCGUGAAGCUGUGGGUUGAGGCAGGGGAACUCACUGCAGACCCUCAGCCCCACGCUGCCCCAGCUCCAGCCCACGCUGCUCCCCCGGGCACACAGCAAAGGUUGCUGACUGCCUGGGUGACUCAAAGCCUCACAGAGCAGCACCUGGCAACCCACUGUGCACACAGAGCUGCUCAAUGCUGGCUGAGAGCUGGAGCAUCCCAGCAACAGAACACCAGAAGAGCCAUGGAACAGCUGCCCCAGAGAUGCUGUGUGAAGCAUCCUGAUGAUCUUGCCAAUACUAAAGACAGACAACCCACCCCUUGGACAGGGGAUCUGGCAGAAGCAGAAUGAGCAGUUGGAGGCAGAAACUUCCUCAGGCAAACAGCUGGGUCCACUCAGUAUCCUCACCCCAUAGAUUCUGUGCACCAUGUCAGCAUCCCUACAGAUCCAGACCCCAUAGGUGCUUUGUACUAUGCCAGCAUCCCUAAGGAUCACAGUGUCUCUUCACUUUGUUUCAUACAGCCUUCAUUCCCAAAGCAGCAACAGGCAGAAUCAGCUCUGUGUCUGAAAACGGCACCAGACAAAAAUGUCCAUGCAUGACAGAGGAUACGUUCCCCAUGGCUACAUCACAUUAAUGCUGCAGACUUGUAAGUGGACAAAGACACAGAAAUGAUGCUCGUAGCUUCAUGAACAGAGAGCAGAGAAGUGUCCCUGCAUGCCCAAGGGUCCAGCAGACGUGCUGAGAGACUGUUAGCUUCCAUAGGGCACAGAGGAGGAAUGACAGCACCGUGCAGCUUCUAGCAGCUCCCCAGGCCCGGGUUUGGCCAGGACACAAACAGUCAUUCAGAAUGAAAUAGGUGUGGACAAGUUUUACCCUGAGCAAUAAGCAAAUAGCAUGUGAAAGUGGCAGCAAGCAAAGCUCUCAGCUUGUGAGGCUGAGGGCAUGGAGCGGGGCUGUGCGGUUAUUAGCAGACUGAGCUGGCUACUCAAUCACAGCCGUGUUAUCCCCUGUCUGGAUCUGACACUUCUUCCUCCAAUCUAUUCGUGACUCAGUGUCUUGGCAUGGAAAACGCAUACCCGAGAGGUUAGCUCCUGAAAUCCACCAGGGACGUUUCACCUUCCUAAAAUAAAGAGUGGGCAAAAUCCUUUCAACGUCCCUCCAAAAAAAAUGCAGGAAAAAAAGUCCCUCCUUAAUAACUGUAUGUUGUUGGGUCUCAGCUGGCUUCGGGCUGAGGUCAGUUUUCCUAUUUAUAAUCAUGCAGCUGUUUGCUGGCUGAAUAACCGUAUUUAUUACUUGGCAUGUUUACCAAACGCCUCAAAUACCUUCUCUACCUCUAAUUGUGGCGCAGAGUAUAUAUAUAUAUUGCAGAUUAGUUCAUUCAAGUGGCUUGUGUUACUACCAGGCCCCGCACUGUGGUUUCCUAAGGGCAUUCAUGGCUUGAAGGUAUAAAACUUUGGACUCGGGUGACCCUGAACUGUAGCAGACACUUGAGGAAAAAACUGAGCCUGUUUUUAAAGUCAUUUGUCCACGGGCACUGCAGGCUUUAACAUUAAUAAAUGUGGAGAUGUGGUACUGAGGGACAUAGUUUGGUGGGCAGUAGGUGGGCAGUUGGACUAGGUGGUCUUACAGGUCUUUUCCAAACUCAGUGAUUCUGUGGUCCUAUACUAUUGCCAUUCUUGUAAGCAGCACCUUCCAAACAUGUUUUCUCUCUAUCUAUGUUCAAUUCUGUCUUCUUCCCUUCCACAUUCUACUGGAAUUGGCCAAAACCAAAUCCAACCCCUUUUAAACGCAGCAUUAGUUGGGAAAGCUUUGUUGCCUUGGAGGGAUCCUCUCCUUUCUGCCCAAGGUGUGGGCAUCCCUUCCUUCACCAGUAGAUUCUUGUGCACCAUGGAGUAUGCAGGGAUAGGGGUGGAAGAGGUUGGGUUGGUUUUCCCAUUUCCAGAGGCCCCUGAAGUCAUCUUCUCCAGGCUGCAUUAGCUCUAUAUGUUCUGUCCUGCUCAGUUCACCCCAGGACACACAUUUCAGGGCUUUCUUUACCUGUUUCUUCCCCUCCUUAGUGGGAGAAUUGGGUCUCCAAAGCAGAUGCUGGCUGCUAAGCCUCAUGCUUUUGUGCGAGGUCACCCCAGAGCAAGGGAAUGCUGUCCUGGUCAGCCACAGCAUCACCCCUGCAAGGAUCCCACAGCCACAUUUACAGCGAGCUUCAAUGACCAUCUGUGUCGGGGGAGGUCACCCUUAGAAAUGCCCAGCCACGUCUGUGCUUCAUUUACAAGAGCUGUAAACCUGCCACCUGGCUGGUGGCUUUAUUGCUUUGGAUGCUGCUGGUGUCAAAGAAAUGUGGUGCAGGAGCCAGCUGGAGCACAGUCAGUUUUCAAUUUAAUCUUCGCUAUAAACGCAAAUAAAGGUUCUGUAUUUUGAGUGAGUGACAGACACGCCGUGGUCACUAUUAAACCUUCUAAAAAUAAACCUCUGCUGAAGUGACAGGAGCCAGAUUCGUUCCUGGAAAGUAUCAGCAAGGAGAGGGGGGUAACAGGGCGGCCCUUCCUCCAUGCAGCUCUAACAGCUGCACUGCGUCAG